UUACGGCCAUAUUACGUUGAAACACAGGUUACAGUACAAUUACCGAAGUUAAGCAACAUCGCGCUUAGUCAGUACCUAGAUGGGUGACUGCUUUGGAAAACCAGGUGCUGUAAG